rnacentral:rRNA from 1 species
AGGGAAUCUUCCGCAAUGGACGCAAGUCUGACGGAGCAACGCCGCGUGAGUGAAGAAGGUUUUCGGAUCGUAAAACUCUGUUGUUAGAGAAGAACAAGUGCUAGAGUAACUGUUAGCGCCUUGACGGUAUCUAACCAGAAAGCCACGGCUAACUACGUGCCAGCAGCCGCGGUAAUACGUAGGUGGCAAGCGUUGUCCGGAUUUAUUGGGCGUAAAGCGAGCGCAGGCGGUUCCUUAAGUCUGAUGUGAAAGCCCCCGGCUCAACCGGGGAGGGUCAUUGGAAACUGGGGAACUUGAGUGCAGAAGAGGAGAGUGGAAUUCCAUGUGUAGCGGUGAAAUGCGUAGAUAUAUGGAGGAACACCAGUGGCGAAGGCGACUCUCUGGUCUGUAACUGACGCUGAGGCUCGAAAGCGUGGGUAGCAAGCAGGAUUAGAUACCCUGGUAGUCCACGCCGUAAACGAUGAGUGCUAAGUGUUGGAGGGUUUCCGCCCUUCAGUGCUGCAGUUAACGCAUUAAGCACUCCGCCUGGGGAGUACGACCGCAAGGUUG